AUUGAACGCUGGCGGCAUGCUUUACACAUGCAAGUCGAACGGUAGAGGGGGCAACCCCUUGAGAGUGGCGAACGGGUGAGUAAUGCAUCGGAACGUGCCCAGUCGUGGGGGAUAGCCCGGGGAAACCCGGAUUAAUACCGCAUACGACCUGAGGGUGAAAGCGGGGGACCGAAAGGCCUCGCGCGAUUGGAGCGGCCGAUGUCGGAUUAGGUAGUUGGUGGGGUAAAGGCCUACCAAGCCUGCGAUCCGUAGCUGGUCUGAGAGGACGACCAGCCACACUGGGACUGAGACACGGCCCAGACUCCUACGGGAGGCAGCAGUGGGGAAUUUUGGGCAAUGGGGGCAACCCUGAUCCAGCCAUGCCGCGUGCGGGAAGAAGGCCUUCGGGUUGUAAACCGCUUUUGUCAGGGAAGAAAUCCUUUGGAUUAAUACUCCGGGGGGAUGACGGUACCUGAAGAAUAAGCACCGGCUAACUACGUGCCAGCCGCCGCCGUAAUAC
rnacentral:rRNA from 1 species